rnacentral:lncRNA from 1 species
GAAUAAAAAGUACUUUCAGAUUCAUUCUUUUUAUUCCUUAGUACGUCACAUGUAUGUGAAGGUACAUGGUUUAUCAUGACAUCUCCCAUUAGGUCUAUUUCUACUUCUAAGGGUGACCAGGAGACAGCCGUCUUUGCCGUUUUAGUUCCUGCAGGGCAGGGCUGGCUAAUCUUCACUGGGCCUAAGCCUGGCCAGCUAGGAUUUGUUCUGCUCUGAUUGGUUGGUGCGAGGGUCUCCUCUGAUUGGUCACCGUUCCUUAGCAAUUGCUUAGUAGUUUGUUUUUCUCUCUUGUGGUUUGAUCUGUGUUGAAGGCCAGGUUCCCAGCUGAGAGGUGACUGGGUCAUGAGGUCCCUGACCUAACUGAAGCAUUGAUCCAAGGCUGGCGUCGUGACUCUGUGGACCACAGGGGAACAGUGGAGAGUAUGGCAGGAGCUGGGGGCUGUGGGAGGUUGGAAGAAGUCAUUGGCGGAAUGUCUUCAAAGAUGCUCCUUAUCGGUGGCCUCUUUCCCCUCUUUGCUUCCUGGCUGCCAUGAGGAACAGUUUCCCACCAUGCCCUUCUGCCAUGAGGAACAGUUUCCCACCAUACCCUCCUGCCGCUGUGUGCCAUGCCUCAACCCUGAAACAACACAGCCAGCCACCCACGGACUGUGUCAGUCUUCCCUUAUGUUUUCUCAAAUAUUUGUCACAGCAAGGAAAGUCUGCAUAACACAGUCCCUUCCCCUGAUCUUAAAUAUACCCACACUCCCAAAAUGGACUCACGUUGGCUAAAGAACGGCAGUGGGGAGCUGAAAACCUUCCCUGUGUAAUCUGCUUGCAGACAGUUCUAAAUGCCUUAAUGCCCCUGGUAAGCCAGCAUAGCAGCUGGCUUAUCCCCCCCCCCCCCUCGGCCUUUGUCAUUUGGGAUGGCUGGAAGUCCUAGGGGAAGCGUCUAAUCACUGUAGCCUGGCUGAUAGCCGGCACUGAGCUCCGUAGUCUCCACCUUAGCAACCUUACCCUUCACUUCGGCAGAUAGUACCAUAGGGUGUCUGGUCACUGUCUGUCCAUGGGUUCAUCCAUCCACAAACAUAAUAUCAUUCCCGUGUUUGGGCUGAAGCAUGUAAAAUGUUGACGGAGUCUGAGAUUGAGAUUGUCUGUUCUUAGGGGCUCAAAAUGGUGGAAAUGGUGGGGGGACAGCAGGCCCCCUGACAUACAAGUCGAUGCAGAGGCAGUUCAAAGCAGGAGAUAGUCUGUAAGGACUCUGCCAAGUGGAGAGCCCCAGGUAGCCUUCCCAGAGCCACCUGCACAGUCCCGGAGCAAGAGGGGACUUCAGGGAGGAUGCUGGAAGACAGCCCAAGCACUGCAAGUCAGGUCUCUCAUGGGUGGCUUUCUGCUUGGCUUAUUUUGGUUUUGGAACACACAACUGUUUAAUUAAUAUCCACUCCUGGAUCUCUCCAAAGACUGGGGAUCAGAGAGUAAAUUGAGAACGCAGUGGUUAGGAGAGCUGUCCCUGGUGUGGUCACCUAGCUGUAGAAGGUGACAGGUACAGGUGUGGAGCCCUUGAGGAGGCCAGGCAGAUGUUGGGAGCCAAGCCAGAGUGAUGCAACUUGUGCAGGCCCAGGCUGGUUAGGAAGGAGAGCAGACCUGGAAGUCACAUCUGGAGAGUUAGUCCUUGGCAUUCAUUUGCGCUGGACCUUCAGGCCUCGCCACGGGUGGAACACCCAGGGGGACAUUUAUUGCCUGGGUAAGUCAGAGGUGACUGAUUUCACUGAGUGUUAGCCUAUAGCUAGCAGCAGAAAACUGUGGAAUUGGGUAGAGAGCCAUGUGUUUGGGAGAAGUUAACAUUGAAUGUGUAUACAGGGUUUCAGUUUUUACAAUGUGGGGGUAUUUCUGAAUGGCUCUAGAGUAACAAUAUGAAUGGACUCAAUACUACUCCACUGUGUAACUUAGUUAGUUACAGGCAAAUUUAAUGUUUUUUUUUCCC